rnacentral:rRNA from 1 species
CGAACGGGUGAGUAACGCGUGAGGAACCUGCCUCAAAGAGGGGGACAACAGUUGGAAACGACUGCUAGUACCGCAUAAGCCCACAGGUCGGCAUCGACCAGGGGGAAAAGGAGCAAUCCGCUUUGAGAUGGCCUCGCGUCCGAUUAGCUAGUUGGUGAGGUAAUGGCCCACCAAGGCGACGAUCGGUAGCCGGACUGAGAGGUUGAACGGCCACAUUGGGACUGAGACACGGCCCAG